rnacentral:tRNA from 1 species
UCCCUGGUAGUCCAGUGGCUUAAGACUCUGCGCUCCCAAUGCAGGGGCCCCGGGUUUGAUCCCUGGUCGGGGAA